rnacentral:lncRNA from 1 species
UCAUUUAAUUUUGGUUGACAAUGAGUGUUUUAUUAAUCAGUAAAGAUACUACUAAUAAAUAAUAACAAAUGGGGAAAUUGCACAAAUAGUAAUAUCAGUCCAAUUAAAAAUCUUGUUUGAUAAAUUGCCAUGAUGAUUAGUGCCUUAAUCUUAAACUUAUUGUAUUCUGAAUUCAAACCCUUCUCUUGUAUUUAGUACAAUGUAUCGCCUAUGCUACCAACAUUCAUUAUUUUUCAUUAAAAAUUUAGUCAAAACUUAUUAUUUGUAUAAGCAUGAAAAUCAAGAGCGGCUCAACUACAAGAUGACUUAUUCUAACAUCCAACUGACUAAGGCUUGUGAAUACAUGUUGAAGCGGUGAAAGUGACUAAAGCUACAUUAGGGUUUGUAAGUAUUAUACUAAUUUUAAUACAUUGGUGCACUUUGUAUAUAGUCUAAUAUACUAGUGGAUAAGGUGUUGGGUUCUACUUAUACGUUUUGGGUUCAAAACUUUCCCUCCUUUAAAUUAUUGUAAUAGUUUCGAACCCGUCUCCCUAUCUUAUAUUAUUGUAAUAGUUUUGAAACUAUCGUCCUGUAAGCUCUUAAAUUAUUAUAAUAAUUUUAAACUUUUCGCUCAUAUUAUUAAUAAAUUU